rfam:Camelus ferus unplaced genomic scaffold scaffold1616, whole genome shotgun sequence.
GGAGAAUACAGCUCAGUGGUGGAGCACGUGCUCAGCAGGCACGAGGUCCUGGGUUCAAUCCCCAGUACCUCCA